UCCGUAGGCGGUGUGGUAAGUCGAUAGUGAAAUCUCUGGGCUUAACCCAGAGGCUGCUAACGAAACUACCAUGCUAGAGUGUGAGAGAGGCGAGUGGAAUUACGGGUGUAGCGGUGAAAUGCGUAGAUAUCCGUAGGAACAUCCGAGGCGAAAGCGGCUCGCUGGAUCACAACUGACGCUGAGGGAGAAAGCUAGGGGAGACAAACA
rnacentral:rRNA from 1 species